rnacentral:rRNA from 1 species
AUUACUCCUACGGGAGGCAGCAGUAGGGAAUCUUCGGCAAUGGACGAAAGUCUGACCGAGCAACGCCGCGUGAGUGAAGAAGGUUUUCGGAUCGUAAAACUCUGUUGUUAGAGAAGAACGUUGCAUAGAGUGGAAAGUUAUGCAAGUGACGGUAUCUAACCAGAAAGGGACGGCUAACUACGUGCCAGCAGCCGCGGUAAU